AAGCUCACUGGCAGGGAAACAGAAACACACCCGUGGAGAGUAACAGUAUUUCAAAUAUGUGCCUCUUUUCUUUUAACAUUAAGAUGCUGAAGUUGGCGACACCGACCUGUAGACGACAAGGACACAGUCUGUCUCACAAGUUGAGAUUCAAUUAGUCGGCACAAGAUUCAAAAAAAAAAAAAAAAAAAGCGGAUGACAAGUUCAGGUAUAAAAGAUAAAUAAAAACCCUCCGGUGCUUUAACCAUUGGAUAGCAACUGACAGGAGCACAUUAUUCCAGCAUCAUAUCUUGAUCUCUUGCUCAGGGUGGAUGAUGGGUAACAGCCGACACACAGCUUCAUGUUUGUCAUCAUCAUCACCAUAAAAAGCACAUCCCUAAUUGUUCUAGCCAAGGCAAUGAAGAACACAGCUGUCACAUCAUCAAAAACUGGCACACAUAUUGGAUAUCUGGAGACAGGAUGCUGUUUGAAUGGUGAAGAUGUAACCUACGACAUCAUGGCACACUGGAAGGAUGAAAAGCCGAAAUCCACAAGGUGGCAGUGAGAAACCAAGAAUGACUCCUGCAGGAGCGGCGCACAAAUGGGCCAUUCCAGAAAUACUCCAUGAAGCUAAUUAUAAACCGAGCCAUUAAUCUGGAACAUGUCACCAUCAUACAUGAACACAGGGACACGAGUGGACACACACACACACACACACACACACACACACAAACCUUACAACCCAUAAGUCUGUGGGAGAUCUCUUAUAUCAUGAAUCUGAUUAAAGGUCAUUUUGUCAAGUUGUGACACUAUAAAACACAAAACUCUACAUUAAAUAUGAAAACAGUAUCUGGAGUGUUUUCAGCACCGGACAGCUCCACAGCCCAGACUCCUCUACAGGCUGAAUUAUGGGCAAAAUUGAGUUUCAGGCCCGCCUUGACAUCCUUGUUUCUCCCUCUAGGGGCCCCAAGAAUUGCUGUGUCUCAGUCAGGAUUUGGCAGUUUCACUAAACAUAUAGUUAUUUGGGGAUAAU
rnacentral:lncRNA from 15 species